GCCCCUGUAGCUCAGCGGACAGAGCAAUGGAUUCCUAAUCCAUGUGUCGCCGGUUCGAUUCCGGCCAGGGGCUCCA
rnacentral:tRNA from 1 species